UUAACCUACGGGAGGCAGCAGUGGGGAAUAUUGCACAAUGGGCGAAAGCCUGAUGCAGCAACGCCGCGUGAAGGAAGACGGUUUUCGGAUUGUAAACUUCUCUCAAUAGGGAAGAAAGAAAUGACGGUACCUAAAUAAGAAGCCCCGGCUAACUACGUGCCAGCAGCCGCGGUAAUACGUAGGGGGCAAGCGUUAUCCGGAUUUACUGGGUGUAAAGGGAGCGUAGACGGCCAGACAAGUCUGAAGUGAAAAUCCAGCGCUUAACGUUGGAAGUGCUUUGG
rnacentral:rRNA from 1 species